UUUUUUUUAUGUGCUUGCAAUCUCCAAUCCAAUUUUUCUUAUGAUAGUUUAGAAUAGCAUGAAUGAAUAUUGAUAGCAAGUUAAACAUUUCUAAUAUUGGCUGUUACAUAUAGCAGUAAAUAGGCUCAUUUUAAAUAUGUGACAAAUUUCAGAUGUCCUUCAUUCUUGUGAAUUGAUGGAUGAUCCACUGUCUUUACAUAUAUAGAAAUUUCAACACAAUCAUCUGAGGAUUGAAUCAUGCUGUUUCUGAUGCUAGGACUGUGGUUUACUGAAGUAGGACUGUGGUUUACUGAUGUGAACAAGACUAGCCUCCCUAUACACAUUCUGUAACACAGACUGAAGCUAGGACUGUGGUUUACUGAAGCUAGGACUGUGGUUUACUGAAGCUAGGACUGUGGUAUACUGAAGCUAGGACUGUGGUUUACUGAUGUGAACAAGACUAGCCUUCCUAUGCACAUUCUGUAACACAGACUGAUAAACAAUACUUGAUUUAUACAAGUUGAGGAUCCAGUGAUGUAAAGGAAUACAAAAUCUAUCGCAAAUUACUCGAAAUUACGCUGAAUGAAACUUCGACCAUCUGUUCUUUUCUCGGAUCUUCUCAUCCUGUUCUUUUCUCGGAUCUUCUCAUCCUAGUGUUCUUUUCUCAGGUCUUUUCACAUCUAAAUAUCCUUUUAAAGACUGUUUAAUCAUUUAAUUGUCUGCCUGGAAGUGGACGUUUAGGGCUGGGAAAUAAAUGACAAAUACAUGAUAAUUAUAACCCAAACCCCAAAAAGGGGAGUAACUCUUUCAUGGAUGGACUUAAAAUAGUGUGCUAAGGUUAGACAUCAAAUAAUAAAAUACAUGUGACUUAAAGUACACAACAGGGCCUACAUGGCAUAUAAAAAAUGGAUAAGCAUUCUUCAAAUCAGUGGCUGUAGACUCUAUCUCUAAACCACCCAGAGGGAUUAUACCUUGCCUGGCAGGUGUGUGUUUACCCUUCAUCUGACUUUAUGACUUUCAUGUUUCAAGAGCAAUAAUUUCCUCUGUUUAGAAAUGCACUAGGAAUUCAAAUUUAUUAUAUGCUACAGUGAACAUAUCGUUAAACAUAAAAACCUGCCAUCAGACCUGAUCAGCUGAUACUCAAAGCUUAUUCAUGGAGGGAUGAUGAACUGUAACACUUAAACAGCAAAAUGUUUAUUUUCUUUGCAGGUAUUGCUGCAGAUCUCAGUCAAGUAAAGCAACCCCCAAUCCCUUCCUAAGCCCCGAAACAUCAACUUUAGGAUUAGACGAUUUACCUUCAUUAAACAUCUCCUUAGUUCUUUUAAUCGUGGUAGAAACCCUUUUCUGACUAAGUCAUGAUGUUCUAGAUCUCAUUUAAGUUCUAAAACAAUUCUUGUGGUGUCUCAUUUAAUGAAACUUAACAUCCUAGAACUGUACUUAAACAAUUCUUGUACUAUUUUUAGAGGGUUCUAGAAUAUAGAUACAAGAACUGUUUCAGAAAACUUCUAGAAAAGUAAUAGGACUUCUCGUAUAGGCAUUGAUCUAACUAGAUCAAACUAGACUACAGACACGCCCUCCUUCAUCUGAGAGAGGAACAUAUGUGGCUAAAUGCUUAGAAUACUGACUAUUCGUUACGAAUGAAUUAAGGAUAUUUACUUCCAUCUGUUUUUCUGGCGACAUCAACAAUCAGAGCACGAGUCUAUAAACAACUAUACAACACAAAAAGAAGGAAUAUCUUACACUUCCCUUGUGAAUAGAUGUCAACACCUUCUGAAUUAGCUUACUGCAUUUUACAUUCAAAUAAUGCUUGGAGCCAUUUUUAUUAUAUCACUUACCUUUUUACAUUAAUGGAAAUCCCAGGUGAGUUAGAAAUCCUCAGAUCAGAAACACACGUUUGAAUUCUUGCAUAUUAUUUACGCAUUUGAUAUACCUAAUGUUUUCUUGUCAACAAAUAAACUAGCUGUUUCCCUAUGAAAAAUAAUAAUUCCCAUAAAACCACUAACUAGUUUAAUAAUGCAAAGAUGUUCAACUUCGUGUUGAACCCUAAGAGAAAAAUUGGGUCCUAAAUAAUGAAGAUCCUAGAACAAUUGAGCUAAUUUAGCAUGCAUGACCAAUAAAUGCCCGCAGAAGCACAAACUUAUUAUAAUCCAGUGGGUAAAUAAAUUUAACAGAGACCUCAUAACAAUUCAGUCAAUAGAAUUAACAAUGUAAUCACAUUUUGUCAUGCAGAGGAGGGAGCUGUGCUGGUAGGCCUAACUAAUAUACACUUUCUAUAAUAUAGUACCAUCCCACAUCCAUGACCCCCUAGUGCAAACAUCUGUGCAUCAAAGGACCCCAUUGGAAAUAAGCUUUCAUUGGUUAUCCUGGGUAUUUAUGUAUGUAUGUUUGUACGUAUGUAUAUACCGAAUAAACUUUUAUUUAUUUUUUAUUUAUGAAUGAAAACUUGACAAGCCACUACAGCUAAACGUUUACUCUGAAGACACCUUCACGACACUUUUUUUUAUUGGCCCGUUUUGACAUUUUUAAAAGUACACCACACCAUGCAACAUAAUACACAUACAUAUAUACAUGUACAACACAUUUUUAGUAUAAUUCAUAUUGUACCUCUGACAAAUUGCCUAUAUUCCAAAAUCUAUAAAUUGUUCCUCAUGUACCAAUAUGUAAUAGCUGGUUUGAGUGAAUAAACUGAAUUGAACGAGAGUAUAAAACUUCUGUAAUUACCUAUAGGUAUCAUACAUUUGUAACUGAAUAUAGAACUCCAUAGGUUUGGGUAUAAUGAUAAAUCAUAUUAGUGUAAAUUAUUUUCCCAAGUUUGCUAAAACAAAUCCAGGGUACCUUUUGAACAAUAUGCAUGCUUUUUGAUGAACAAUUCCUUUCUAAAAAUACCGUACUCAAAAUGACUUGUAAAUUUGGCUUCUAACUAUCUUUUUCAGUAAUAGCUACUGUAUGUGUAUAAUACUUAGAUAGCAAAUUAAAAUCAUUGCAUUGUUCAUUAUAAAAAAACUCCGACACAAUAGAUAUGAAAAAUACCUAAGCUGUUUCUCAAGUUUGAUCCCAAUAUCUACUGACAGAGUCACAAAAACAGAAUCUAUGUUCUGCCGUUUUCAAUAUAUUCACAAACAUUGUAAUGUAUUUUUUAUUUUUAUUUUCGCUCAGUAAUUUGUUAUCAGAUUCGUUCUCACAGAGACAACCAUCGUCAUAGGCUAUACUAUUAUUCAUUUUAUAACAGUGUAAUGCAUGCAACGUAAAACAAGUUUAUUAAUAGCUAACUAUUUACUCUAAAGACACUUGAAUAAAACAUUCCUAAUUGGAAAAAGAAAGUCCUAUUUGAUGAAAAAAAUGUUGAAUUAACUUAGGACCAUUACAGGCAUGCGAUUCUUACAUCAGAAUUAGAUAUAUUACAGAGAGAGAGAGUUAGCAUACCAAAGAUUUACAGAAAUUGUUAUGAAUAGUGCAGAAAAUUAAAAAACAAAUCCUACCUUAUAUGUCUGUGAAAUCAGUCAAGGAUAUAUGUAUAAAUCUUAUCCCAGCAGUUUCUGUAAAAUACAUGUAAAUAAAUUGAAUGUUGAGAUGAUAGUGGUUGAACAACUAGGCGGUUUCUGUCCACUGGUCACGAUCGCUUAUACCCUACAGUCAAUCUGUACACAGCUCCAUAUCAAAGGCAGCACCCCUGCUAAAAAAUUCACAAGAAACUUAUCAAAUCUGCAGGACCCGUGAAACUUCCCUGGAGCUAUAUGACACUUACUCAAUGAUUUAAUCAUACCUAAUUACUAUGUCAUUACAAAUUUUUCCUAUGAAUGGAAGUGAUCGACACGUUUUACAAAUAAAGGACUGCUGUACAUGUACUUCGUCUUGGAAUCUUCUGGGGAUGUCAAUUAACUCUCGGAUUCAGCUAGAGAAAUUUCACACAAUCAAUGGGUAGCUUUCUGGAACUUUAUUACUGCCAAAUAACGCGAUAAUGGCGGUUAUCUCCCCUUGAAAGCAAUAUUUUUCUAGUCACUUAGACAAUUGUGACCUUUCAGAGCAAUUAAAUCUGAUCAUCCAAUAUUUAUCUGAUUCCCAUUUUUCCAUUUUACUGUUCGUUCUUAACUUUAAAAUGUACUAGGACAUCAUGCUAUUCUGUUCACUCUCUCUCUCUCUCUCUCUCUCUCUGAAUUUGAACAAAGAAAGAAAAACAGUCUGUGUAUUUAUUUAAGGUGAGUUAUUCAAAUAGUAUUUCUUUUAUUCGUCAAAUCAUGAAAACAUGGAAUAAAGGAAGUAAUGGUGUGUGUAAUUUCAUGCUUUCUCGAGUGCUGCAUUAAAAAUUACAGUCACUGGCAAUGAUAAACUCUCGCAGGAAAGAUGAAGAAAGGGGGUUAUGAGGUGAUUUCACAUGCCCAUUAUUUUGUGUGUCUAUCAUUUGCUGUAAUGCAUGCUUCACAUCAUAAGCUCAUCAAAUUGAUCAAAUUAAAUAAAAAACACUUGUGCGGUGUUCUGCCAUAUGCUUUGAAGCGCUUGACGCUGCUUGUUUAAGGAUAUUGAAGUAUUUGGACCCUGACGCAAGUGUUGCUCCACCUCAUCCAACACAUGUUCUAUCGGAGAGGGGGUGUCAAUCCCAGAUAGUGACAUCCUGCUGUCCCUAGAAGUCACCAAUAACAAUUAAGUGCAGUGUCAGGCCUAAUACGUUGUCUUGGUGAAAGCUGAUAGACCAGCAAAUAAUGGAAAAAAGGGAUGGUACAAAGACUGACACUUUUGUCUCACUAUAGCGAAUUCCUGUAAGAUUUCCUUCAAUGUCAACCACAGGUGUUCCAUAACACCCCCCCCCCCCUCCUUUGUGAUGCCACUUAAUAUUACAGUGUAGCAUUAUCAGGUCGACAUUAUACCCGGGCAUGAUGGUCAGUUAUAAAAGUGAAACCUGGGUUGUUCUGUAAGAGGAAUGUUCACAGCAGGCUAGUUCCCACUCCCCAAUUAUAGAUGUCUCCUCCACGGUAGUAAUGAGCUAUUCUGUGAGGUUGGAGCAGAACAGGGCAGUUGGUGGUUUGUCACGGAUAAAUGUUGGCUUUGUAGAGUCUUAUCCUGGGAGGGUCUUAGCAGUCAAAGUCGAUUUCUAAAAUGAGUCAUCUGCAUCAAGUUGUCUUGUUCCCGUGGUGUAACAUGGGGAUACCCAUAUCCGGGAUAGUCUUUGCUGGAAAUGUCUGUGUCAAUUAGCAUAUACAAUACUGAAAUGCACCCUAAUAUGUCUAGUAACCUUAUUUUGUGAUAGACCUGCUUUUGACAUGCACCAAUUGCAUACAGUUUAUCAGCUUCAUUCAACAAUGGAUGAUUUUAAAAUUUCAAACAAUUUAAUUUCACUCACAAACUCAAGAUGUACAAAAAUCUAUUUUAGCAAUACACAUUUUUUUUUUUUUUUUAUUAGUAUGUUUUAACACCUGUGACACUAAAGAAAGCGCAUUAGUUUGUGGUUUAAUUGUCCAAUUCCAUUUUUUCAUGAAUUAUCGUAGAUUAAAAUAAUCAUACAUGUGCUACAUAAUUAUGACCAAAAAAUGCAAUAACUCCAAUUGCACUAAAAUUCAAAUAUGCUAAAAUGAGUACAUACACAUAAUACUUCACUUGAUGCCUCAGUUAGCUGACCAACAUAAAGAAGGUAUAAAGUAAGUUGGGACAGUUUUAACACAUUACAAACCGUGAAGUGGUGGAUAAAAGAGCUCACUGUCCCCAGUUUAUUCCAUAACGUAUGAAAUGAAAAGAAAUUACUUUCAUUUCUAAUGAUAAAGUUUAGUAAAACAUGCUUGAUGUAAUCUGAUGAAAAAUAAUUCUUAAAAAUAUAGGAAUUUCAUUUGACACUGAGCAAUGUUGUCAGAGCAAAACAAGAGGCCCAAGGGCCACAUCACUCACCAGAGUUACCUUGCCCAUAUUACUUCCAGGGGCCAUGAUUUUUACAAACUAGAAUCUGUACUAUGUUAAUUAGGAACCUUUCAUGUAAAUGUAAAAGUCUUUGGCCCAAUGGUUCUUGAGAAGAUUUUUAAAGAUUUUCCCUAUAUAUUUGUAUGUAAAACUUUGAUCCCCUAUUGUGGCCCCCAACCUACUCCCAGGGGUCAUGGUUUUACCAAACUUGAAUCUGCGAGCCAUAAUUAAUUUUAACAAACAUAAAUCCGCACUAUGCCAGGAAGCUUUCAUGUAAAUCUGUACUUUCCUGGCCCAGUGGUUCUUGAGAAGAUUUUUAAAUGACCCCAACCUUUUUUUGCAUUUUUAUGAAUAUAUCCUCCCUUUGUAAGGGCCCUUCAUUUAAACAAACUUGUAUCUUCUUCACUCAAGGAUGCUAUGUGCCAAAUUUGGUUGAAAUUGGCACUGUGGUUCUGGAGAGGAAGAUUUUUAAAUGUCUUCAAUGUAUAUUCACUAUUAUCUCCCUUUGGAAAGGGGUGUGGCCUUUCAAUUGAACAAACUUGAAUCUUCUUUCCCUAAGGAUGCUUAGUGCCAAAUUUGGUUGAAAUUAGCAUUGUGGUUCUAGAAAAGAAGAUUUUUUAAAGUUGCUAAUAUAUUUUCACUAUUUUGCUAUUAUCUCCCCUUGGAAAGGGGCAUGGCCCUUUAUUUGAAGAAACCUGAAUCCCCUUCACCCAAGGAUGCUUUGUGUCAAGUUUGGUUGAAAUAGGACCAGUGGUUCUGGAGAGGAAGAUUUCUAAAAGUUGUUAAUGUAUUUUUACUAUUAUCUCCCUUUAGAAAGGGGCAUGACCCUUCACUUGAACAAACCUGAAUCCCCUUGCCCCAAGGAUGCUUUGUGCCAAGUUUAGUUGAUAUUGGCCCAGUGGUUCUGGAGAAGAAUUCCAAAAUGUCAAAGUUUACAAACAGAUGGACAGACAGACGGACGACGGACAAUGGGUGAUCAGAAUAGCUCACUUGAGCUUUCAGCUCAGUUGAGCUAAAAUUGAAAACAAAUAAAAGGAGGCAAACGUAUUGUGGCGUCGUUCCUAGGAUGACACAUGGUAGGAAUUAACAGUAACUUAGUUUAUAUGAUAUGAAAAUUUCGAUAAAGUUGAAGGAACCAAUCAUAUUGUUCUUUACAAGUGAAAUCAAAUUUUCAAAUAUUUUUUUAAAUUGUUUGUCACCUAAAUAUCUUUCAUCUAACUAGACGCUAGAACCUAUUAAAGAAAAUCACCUAAAAGGUAAAUUUUCACAGAGUUGAUUUGAAAAUGUACAAAUCUUUGAAAGAAAUGGUUGAAACUACAUGUAUGUGCAUUUUAAGUUAGUGUUUAGGUUAUGAGAUAUUUACAUAAAGAUUGGGGACAAAAAUUAUAUACCAGGCUUGGAUUUCUCGAAAAAAUCUCAAACUUAAGUUUGAGUUUUUCUUCAAUUUCAGCAGUCAAAAUUUGAGUAAAACCUCAACCUUAAGUCCAAGUUUCGACCUAUUAAGUUCUUUUCAAGAAAUCCAGGCCUGUACUAUCAAUUUUAAACAAAUAAAAAAAAUCUGUUUUCCUUACACAAAAUAUAGUUAGAAAAAUAUAUCUUGUUCAAUCCAUGGUCGGAACCCUUAGGUUUUAUCUCCGUUGCACUGCACUGUGGGUUUGGAUGAUGCCCAUGGACCUGAUUGUCCCUAAUUGACUCUAUAUUCAGUACCUGUAGUGUAUUACAUCAUUCCCUGUAUAAUUAUCAGAUUAAUAAAUGAUAUUGACUCACAUUUGCACAAUGUAUUCAAUACACUUUUUUUUUUACUGAUGUAUCCAGCAGUGAUCAAUAUCAGAAAUUGAUCAGGUUCAGUCAGUUAAUUAAGAUUAAUGGGUGACAAAAUGUUCCUUGCUGUUUUCUCUAUCUGUGAAAUUAUCCCAUUUGAGUCAGAUUGCCACAAGCUAAGAAGAGAAUUCUUCCAUUGUAUAACAAUUAAUCUGAUCAGGCAAAUAAUAAGUUGCUUGACUGCUCAAAUCAUUGGGUCCAAUUCCUUACUUUCAAUCUAAGCUGGGUUGAUAAAAUUGAUCAGGCUAUUACACAAUUGCUUACACAGAAUAAUUUUCCCAAAACAGUGAUCUUCCAUCCCGAUACCAGAUCAAACCAUCAACAUUGCCCUCGUGCUUUGGUGAGAUAUCCCCCCUAGUUUAUGUCCAAAUAUUGAUCUAAAUUGUAAUUCGAUUGGUGACCUAACAUUUGAGGUCCACCAUUAGAUUCAUCAGAUAAAAACCAAGACCUUUUUUAUGUAAGUGAUAAAUUCCAUUUCUAUAAUCACAUAUACCCUAAAAGCAACACCAUCAUGCAAAUACUAAGCAUGCAUGUUAACUAUCCUUUCUGAUGGAAGUUACGAAUGAAAUUCUACAGUGCUGGGAUUUUUGUUACCAAAUGGUCGCAAAAUUAGAAGCACUCAGCUUUGAAAAUUUAAAAACCUACUUCCUGUCACAGCCCUAAUGCUUACUUAAUAUUUAAUUUUCAUGCAGGAAUCAGAAUUUAUACCCAAGGACUAAAAUGGUUUGGUUCAUAAACCAACGUGCAGGUUUUUGAAACGUUAUCUACAUUAUUUUAAUGAAGGUUGUAUGCACAAAUUUCUGAUACAUGUUUUUUUUUUUAUUUAGAAAAAUACUAAUGAUAUUAAUUAGGAUGAAACAUCAUAAAAGCCUGAGUUUACCCAUGAUUUCUAAAUCAAGAUGAAAAAGUGUGCAUUUUUGUAACAUUUUCAUUUUCAGCAAAGAUAGAGCACCUUUGUGAACAGGAUUCAUAUUGUUUCUGAAUACGUAUCUUUCAAAAAUACAAGUACUUCAUCUAAUUUUGUCCUUUAAGGGGUGGAUUAAUAUCUAAUUUUGUCCUUUAAGGGGUGGAUUAGUAGUCUGGCCUUAAAAUCAAAUUAUUCUUCAAUAUCUUUGAAAUUCUAUAAUUUCUAAGUCAAAAUACUGUGCAACAAAGAUGAAGAUUUAUUUUUUUCCAAACUGAUUCCUGUAUUUGAAUAUCCUUCCCAUAGCCAUAGUGUAAAAAAGCGUAAUGGCCAAACACAGAGAUUGUAACCCCCUGCGCUGGGCCCAAGAGGAGGAUAUCAGAACAUAUUCAGAAUACUUCGAAAAGGGAAGAUGCAUGCUAUCGUUUGUUUAAAUUACAAAGGUCUGCUUUUAUUCUGUCCAUUUUUAUAGAUCCUUAACUACGCGACAAGCAGAGUAGUUUCAGGAAAGCAUUUUCUUGGAUUUACAUACCCUUCAAAACUGGACCAGUAUAGGUUCCGCUUAAUAGGCACACACUCAAUCCAGGCAUCAAAAGGUAGAGAAAAGUCAACAGAAGGUGACAAAAGAAAAGGUAGGACAAAAGGUGAGAAAAUUACAUCCUAAAAGCAAAAAAAAGAAGAAAAAAAAAAAGUCUCUUGCGCAUACUUCUUCUCAGAGUGACCCCUGUGCCAUAGCCUUUGAUGGAUCCAGGUUAGAAUAGGUCCUUAUCAGUACCCCCUUGCUUGACGUAAGAGACAACUAAAUGGGGCGGUCCUUCAGAUGAGACUGCAAAAACCGAGGUCCCGUGUCACAGCGGGUGUUGCACGAUAAAGAUCCCUCCCUGCUCAAAGGCCAUAAGAGCCGAGCAUAGGCUUAAUUUUUGCAGCCCUUCACUGGCAGUGGUGACAUCUCCAUAUGAGUGAAAUAUUCUCGAGAGGGACGUUAAACAAU